UCGACAACAAAUAAUACAUUGGCUGGACUUGACAAGCAACCACGCAGACUACUAGUAGCCAAGGUAAGGCAAGGCAAGGCAAGGCAUUAGAGUUGAAGACUGACCAAUAGCAAUAGCAAUGGCAAUGGCAAUAGAAAUACCAACACUAAUACCAUUUAGUGGGAUCGAUUUGAACGGAUAUUCUAGUGCAUACAUUGAAGUUGCAGCUGAAAUUGGUGGUGAAGUUGAAGUUGAAAUUGAAGAAAGUAUUGAUGAGACAGCAAGGCAAGGCAACGAGAUGACAAAGGCGAAAGGCAAUUGGCAGUGGCCAUCAAUGGAAGAUGUAAGUGAAAAAGUGAUCGAAUUGUUACGUGAAGGAGUAGUUGUAGUAGAAUUGUUAUUGAUGUUGGUGUUGAUGUUGAUGUUGAUAUUGAUGUUGGUGUUAGCUAUCAAUGUAUAUGCAAUUGUAAAGAGCUGAUGAAGUGAGUGAGCGAGUGUUAGAGUUCCGACACGGUGCAAUAAUGGGAGGCCAUAUGGUGUUGAGCUUUCACGACUACAUGGCUUAUGGCCGUAGUCCGACUAUACCCCCAGAACCACUAAUUAUUCCCGCAACUCCCAACAUUUCGUACUGCUGCUGAAGACUUGGAUGAAUGAAUGCGCAUCUCUACAUCGUACAUCCGGAUUGCCACCUGAACACGCGGAAUUGUAGCCUUUGUUGGAGUGCUAAGUGCUUCGCCUCUGGUAUUUGAUACUCACUAUGUGGAUUAUGCGCCGCAGGCCGGCUAUGUAAGACUGUCUGCAUUGGAGGAAUUGCGCCGUAGGCCGGCUUGGGACGGAUACUUCAUCGAAAUUCUUCAUCAACACCAACAACACCAUUUUGAAGGAAGGCGAAGGAAGCAUUGAAGCAACUUAUUCAUGGCAAAGGUGAAAGAAGCUUCUUCAUUCAUUCAUAUGCAUUUCUAUGGAUAAUACUCACUGUCUCAUUGUGAACUACUACAACUAAAUGAACGAGCGAGCUAGCUAACGAAUCCACAUACAUAUAUGUGUUGUGAAAAGAAGCUGUAACUGCAAUACUUCCACUUCCACCAAUUGUCAAUGCAUCGACAACAAAUAAUACAUUGGCUGGACUUGACAAGCAACCACGCAGACUACUAGUAGCCAAGGUAAGGCAAGGCAAGGCAAGGCAUUAGAGUUGAAGACUGACCAAUAGCAAUAGCAAUGGCAAUGGCAAUAGAAAUACCAACACUAAUACCAUUUAGUGGGAUCGAUUUGAACGGAUAUUCUAGUGCAUACAUUGAAGUUGCAGCUGAAAUUGGUGGUGAAGUUGAAGUUGAAAUUGAAGAAAGUAUUGAUGAGACAGCAAGGCAAGGCAACGAGAUGACAAAGGCGAAAGGCAAUUGGCAGUGGCCAUCAAUGGAAGAUGUAAGUGAAAAAGUGAUCGAAUUGUUACGUGAAGGAGUAGUUGUAGUAGAAUUGUUAUUGAUGUUGGUGUUGAUGUUGAUGUUGAUAUUGAUGUUGGUGUUAGCUAUCAAUGUAUAUGCAAUUGUAAAGAGCUGAUGAAGUGAGUGAGCGAGUGUUAGAGUUCCGACACGGUGCAAUAAUGGGAGGCCAUAUGGUGUUGAGCUUUCACGACUACAUGGCUUAUGGCCGUAGUCCGACUAUACCCCCAGAACCACUAAUUAUUCCCGCAACUCCCAACAUUUCGUACUGCUGCUGAAGACUUGGAUGAAUGAAUGCGCAUCUCUACAUCGUACAUCCGGAUUGCCACCUGAACACGCGGAAUUGUAGCCUUUGUUGGAGUGCUAAGUGCUUCGCCUCUGGUAUUUGAUACUCACUAUGUGGAUUAUGCGCCGCAGGCCGGCUAUGUAAGACUGUCUGCAUUGGAGGAAUUGCGCCGUAGGCCGGCUUGGGACGGAUACUUCAUCGAAAUUCUUCAUCAACACCAACAACACCAUUUUGAAGGAAGGCGAAGGAAGCAUUGAAGCAACUUAUUCAUGGCAAAGGUGAAAGAAGCUUCUUCAUUCAUUCAUAUGCAUUUCUAUGGAUAAUACUCACUGUCUCAUUGUGAACUACUACAACUAAAUGAACGAGCGAGCUAGCUAACGAAUCCACAUACAUAUAUGUGUUGUGAAAAGAAGCUGUAACUGCAAUACUUCCACUUCCACCAAUUGUCAAUGCAUCGACAACAAAUAAUACAUUGGCUGGACUUGACAAGCAACCACGCAGACUACUAGUAGCCAAGGUAAGGCAAGGCAAGGCAAGGCAUUAGAGUUGAAGACUGACCAAUAGCAAUAGCAAUGGCAAUGGCAAUAGAAAUACCAACACUAAUACCAUUUAGUGGGAUCGAUUUGAACGGAUAUUCUAGUGCAUACAUUGAAGUUGCAGCUGAAAUUGGUGGUGAAGUUGAAGUUGAAAUUGAAGAAAGUAUUGAUGAGACAGCAAGGCAAGGCAACGAGAUGACAAAGGCGAAAGGCAAUUGGCAGUGGCCAUCAAUGGAAGAUGUAAGUGAAAAAGUGAUCGAAUUGUUACGUGAAGGAGUAGUUGUAGUAGAAUUGUUAUUGAUGUUGGUGUUGAUGUUGAUGUUGAUAUUGAUGUUGGUGUUAGCUAUCAAUGUAUAUGCAAUUGUAAAGAGCUGAUGAAGUGAGUGAGCGAGUGUUAGAGUUCCGACACGGUGCAAUAAUGGGAGGCCAUAUGGUGUUGAGCUUUCACGACUACAUGGCUUAUGGCCGUAGUCCGACUAUACCCCCAGAACCACUAAUUAUUCCCGCAACUCCCAACAUUUCGUACUGCUGCUGAAGACUUGGAUGAAUGAAUGCGCAUCUCUACAUCGUACAUCCGGAUUGCCACCUGAACACGCGGAAUUGUAGCCUUUGUUGGAGUGCUAAGUGCUUCGCCUCUGGUAUUUGAUACUCACUAUGUGGAUUAUGCGCCGCAGGCCGGCUAUGUAAGACUGUCUGCAUUGGAGGAAUUGCGCCGUAGGCCGGCUUGGGACGGGUAAGUGUCAAGAAAAAAUGCGCCGCAGGCGGCAAAUUUUUCAGGGUAUAAGUAGAGGCCCGGCAGAGUGACCAAAUUGGGACGGGUUUGUGUGAAGAAGAAAUGCGCCGCAGGCGGCAAAUUUUUCAGGGUAUAAAUAGAGGCCCGGCAGGUAGACAAAAUUGCUGGUGAGGACCUUUUUUUUUUUUUUUUUUUUUUUUUUUUUUUUUUUUUUUUGCUCUUCAUUUUCAUUUCGAGUGACAUCAAAAGUAGGUCUCACAUUUAUUCUUCUAAUCAAAUUUGAAUUUCAUUUAACAUUGAACUUCAAUUCCAAUUGCAAAUGAAAAUAAUUAACAAUUAUCCAUA